UUGUGAUGGGUUUAGUGCCCUUAUCAGAAGAGCAGCUUGCCCACUCUCUCUGCUCUUGACCAUGUGAGAAAACAAUGAGAAGACAGCCAUCUGCAAACCAGGAAGCGGCUCUUGGCCAACACCUGAUCUGCAGCCAGAACUGACUGAGACAGGAAGGGACCCCCAGUGCUUACAGUAAGGAGCCAUCAGAAAUGGAAUUCCAUCUGAGGCACAAAUUAUUGGCUGGAAGAAGGGGAGGCCAUUCUUAAGGACAGGCCCAAGCAUUUGCAAUGCUGCUGGUAAAGCGCAGUGGAGCAGCUGUCCUGAGAGAGCUGAGCCCUGGGGGCCACUGGCCACAGUGGGGGUUAGGGGGGAUACUGCAGGGCCUGGGGCUGAGCCUGGGGCUGGACCUCGGGCUGGAGCCCUGCUGAGGCCAGAGAAGAGUCCAGGAGUCUUGGCCAGGAGGAAGAUUUAAGGGAGGCAAUUGAGAGGGGAGCUGGGAACCAGCUCUGUUCUCAGUGUGGAAGCUGGGAAGGACAUCUGGAAUCAUCUGGUACAAGACCACAUCAGGUGAAAAAACUGAAACACAGAGCAAGUUGGUGGCAGCCCCAAGUUCACAGAGAGUGGAGCUGAACAAGAAGCCAGUUUCUCCUGUAAAUAAGCCUGAAGAUGUGGAGACCUCUUCAUUGGAAAAUGAGGAUGAUGCCAACUCAGAGAAAAGCAAAACACAGAGAGUGAUUUCAAUUGACACCUUUUUGAGCACCUGGAUCCAGCUGUGCCUGAAGCAGCAAGCACUGUGCUUAUCAUAGAUAUUCAAGAAUCCAGGUUGAUGGAGCAGCUGCCAUCUCUAAUGUUGCUGGCCACCAUGACAGAGGAAAACAGAAUCUAGAAAAAGCUACACUGGCUCUUAAAGCUUCUGUCCAGGAUGGAUACAGGUUGCUUCUACUCACGUUUCAUUGGCCAAAACAAGUCACGUGGCCAAGCUUAACUUCAAAGGGAAGAAAGGGCAAUCCUGCUGUGUUCCCGGAAGGAAGCGCCCCGUUGACCCCACGUUGUCAUGGUUAUUUUGUAACUGGUUGAGUACUGGACACUUGCAUCGAAAAGAUGCAGAAACAAUUUUUUAAAAAUCUGUUUCCCUGUCUUUUUUCUUAGUCUUUAUUCUAUUUUAUUUUAAAUUCUUUUUAGAGACAGGAUCUUGCUCUGUCACCCAGGCUAGAAUACAGUGGCACAGUCAUAGGUCACUGCAGCUUUGAACUACUAGGCUCAAGCUUUCUUCCCACCUCAGCCUCCCAAGUAGCUAGCACCUCGGGUGCACACCACCAUGUCCAGAUAACUUUUUAUUGUGUAUUUCUUUUGUAGAGGUGGGGGGGGGGGUCUCACUAUGUUGCCCAGGCUGGUCUCGAACUCCUGGCCUCAAACAAUCCUGACUCAGCCUCUCAAUGUGCAGGGAUUACAAGUAUAAGUCACCUCGCUCUGAUUUUUUCUGGUUUGAUGCUCCCCAGGGACCAGGAGCCAUGACUGAGUAAUGCUCUAUUUACCCGACUUUUCCCCACACUACUUCAACCACUUUGAAAUCUGUUGGUCCUGCUGUCCAUCAUCCAGCGGCCAGGAGCCAGGUCAUUGACAUUUUCAACAGUGUCUUGCUGGUUAAAUCCCAGAGAAGAGGAAAGAAGCUGUAUCUCGGGUCCAGAGUCACUAGCCAACAAGAGAAAGAAAGAAUUGAGGCAUAAAAGAGGAAAAGCUCUUAUUGAGAGAGGUGGCGUCUUGGGUCUGGAGCAAAGGGCUGUGAGGGAAGCUGGACGGGGCAGGGGAAGGCAUUAAGCAAGGACGGAGUAUCAGCUGUGGUCUUUUCAGUCUGACUCCAUGGGCAGCUCUGGAGUGUGAGUUGCACAUGCAGUGGGUCCUACCUUGAGGCAAGGGAGCUGGCCUCUUGUACCCCAUUCCUAUUAGUCAUUGGCAGUGAGCUACCCCUUGAUGGGAGCAUUCACCUGCUGGGUCAGGCAACUCCUGUUGAGUUGGUCAAAGGCAAUUCUCGGAGCAGGGGGCCACUGUGCGCUGUUCACACCUA
rnacentral:lncRNA from 13 species